rnacentral:rRNA from 1 species
CGGGGUGAGUAACACGUGGAUAACCUACCUAUAAGACUGGGAUAACUUCGGGAAACCGGAGCUAAUACCGGAUAAUAUUUUGAACCGCAUGGUUCAAAAGUGAAAGACGGUCUUGCUGUCACUUAUAGAUGGAUCCGCGCUGCAUUAGCUAGUUGGUAAGGUAACGGCUUACCAAGGCAACGAUGCAUAGCCGACCUGAGAGGGUGAUCGGCCACACUGGAACUGAGACACGGUCCAGACUCCUACGGGAGGCAGCAG